rnacentral:rRNA from 1 species
AGUGAACGCUGGCGGCGUGCUUAACACAUGCAAGUCGAACGAGAACGGAUUAUAGCUUGCUAUAAUUGUCAGCUAAGUGGCGCACGGGUGAGUAAUAUAUAGGUAAUGUGCCCUAGAGAAGAGGAUAACAGUUGGAAACGACUGCUAAGACUCUAUAUGCCUUUAAGACAGAAGUCUGCAAGGGAAAUAUUUAUUGGUAAGAGAUUGGCCUGUAUUGUAUCAGUUAGUUGGUGGGGUAAUGGCCUACCAAGACUAUGACGCAUAACUGGUUUGAGAGGAUGAUCAGUCACACUGGAACUGAGACACGGUCCAGACUCCUACGGGAGGCAGCAGUGGGGAGUAUUGCACAAUUGGACGAAAGUCUGAUGCAGCAACGCCGCGUGGAGGAUGACACAUUUCGGUGCGUAAACUCCUUUUAUAUAAGAAGAUAAUGACCGGUAUUAUAUGAAUAAG